rnacentral:misc_RNA from 1 species
CGCGCUUCACAUACGAGAUAACAUAUAUGAGUACGCAAAAUUGAACGAUAACUGGGUUCGCAAAGUAGCCACCUGAGCGGUGUUGGUCAGAAGUGUACCUCGCUCUGAUUGGUCACUCUGCACGGUGUUUUUAUUUACACUGGCGUCAAUUUGACGUUUUCAAAAAGAUAGAAUCAGGAUCAUUUCAAAGAUAUUGUCAUAGAUAAAGACGCAAAUAUACGUAUGUAGACGUGGAUAUUGUCAGUAUAUGUCGUAAAGUAAUCGAUUCUGCUAGAAAUAUAAAAUACUUACCAGACACGAAGACAACUGUACUGUGUUCAUUACUUGAAAAUGUGAAAAAUGUAGGAAAUGGUAAAUCAGUAAUGUAUCCUGAUUCCAAUAUUGCCACAAAAACUCGUUUGGGUAGAACAAAAGCAAGUAUGAUUGCUUUUAAUGUCCUGGCCCCUUUUUCAGUAGAAAGUCCAUUAUGUGAGCUUAGCAAAGGAGUUUUUUUGGAAUUUUGGAAUUUUUUUGGAAUAUCCACAGAUGCCUCUAAUCAUAGAAGUGCUAAGCUUUUCCCAAUACUUUUAAGGUAUUAUGUUCCAUCAGAAGGAGUAAAAUUAUUUCUUCUUGAUUAUUUCGAAGAUCCCGACGAGAGUGCAAAUGGUAUUUACACUAACUUAAAAACUAGAAUUCAACAUGCUGGCCUUUUAUUAAACUACAUAUCAUGCUAUUCGGCUGAUAAUGCAAAUGUUGAUUUUGGACGCUUGCAUUCUGUGUACCAAUUAUUAUAUAAGGAGAAUAAUAAAGUUCUUGCAGUGGGUUGUCCUGCGCAUAUGGUAAACAAUUCUGUAAAAAAUGCUUUAGCAAAAUGCCGUUUUGAUGUAGAAACUUUGAUUUUAAAAACUUUUAAUCAAUUUUCAUCUCAAGCAAAAAGGUGCAAAGAGUUAAAAGAUUUUUUUAAUUUCGUGGAUUUGGAAUAUAAAACUAUUUUAAGCCAUGUACCGACUCGUUGGCUAAGCUUAUUUCCAGCCAUAGAAAGAUUGCUGAACAUUUUUCCAGCCAUUAAGAGCUACUUUCUUUCCCAGGAAGAAACAAUUCCUAUUGCACUAUAAGAUUUUUUCUCUGAAGACAAUUUUGUAGUACAGAAAACUGAAUGUUAUCUAUGUUUUUUCACAACUCACUAAAAAUUGUUUUUGACACAGAACAAAAACUUGAAAAAGCCGAUUUACUUUGUUUCGAAAUUUCUUUGGCUUUCUAGCGUCAAAUCUUUUAAAAAUUUUUGCACGAAAUGAACAAACUCAAAUAAGAGAAUCCUGUUUAGAAUUUUAUAAAAAUAUUGCUGCUUAUCUAGAUUCAAAAUAUGAAUUUUCAGAAAAUAAUUUGUUUUCAAAAUUAAAUAUUUUUUCUUUAAAAACUUUAUUUAAUUUUGAUUAACUUAUGGAAGUUGUAAACAACUUACCAAUCGACAUAAAUUUUGAUAAUCUGUAUGAAGAAUUUUGUAUAGUCAAAACUACCCUUGACAAAGCUUUCACUUUAUCUGAGGAGACUAAUAUUAUCCAGAAAUGGAAUAACAUAUUCAUAGGUAAUCCGGAACUUAUUAAUUUUUUUAAAAUAAUACAAUUUGUUUUUUCCAUAUACGGGUCAAAUGCUGACUCUGAAAGAUUUUUUUCUUUAUGUAAUGCAGCCUGGAGCGACAGCCGCAAUAAACUCCUGGUUGAUCACGUAAAAGCAGAGUUUCAGAUUAAAACUAAUUUUAAUUUAAAAAGCAAAGAAUUUUAUAAUAUGGCUAUUAAAAAUAAAAGGCUCUUGCAGGUAGUCAAAUCUAACCAAAAAUAUUCUUUUUCAUCCAAAUAAUUUUUUUUAAAGCAUUUUAAAACAUUUAUCAUUUAUGUAUUAUAAAGUAAGAAAUAUACGAGUAUCCUGUUUUAAUUUGGUACCAUAAUUUAA